AGAGUUUGAUCCUGGCUCAGGACGAACGCUGGCGGCACGCUUAACACAUGCAAGUCGAACGAGAGAAGAGGAGCUUGCUUUUCUGAUCUAGUGGCGGACGGGUGAGUAACACGUGAGCAAUCUGCCUUUCAGAGGGGGAUACCGAUUGGAAACGAUCGUUAAUACCGCAUAACAUAAUUGAACCGCAUGAUUUGAUUAUCAAAGAUUUAUCGCUGAAAGAUGAGCUCGCGUCUGAUUAGCUAGUUGGUAAGGUAACGGCUUACCAAGGCGACGAUCAGUAGCCGGACUGAGAGGUUGAUCGGCCACAUUGGGACUGAGACACGGCCCAGACUCCUACGGGAGGCAGCAGUGGGGAAUAUUGCACAAUGGAGGAAACUCUGAUGCAGCGAUGCCGCGUGAGGGAAGAAGGUUUUAGGAUUGUAAACCUCUGUCUUCAGGGACGAAAAAAGACGGUACCUGAGGAGGAAGCUCCGGCUAACUACGUGCCAGCAGCCGCGGUAAUACGUAGGGAGCGAGCGUUGUCCGGAAUUACUGGGUGUAAAGGGAGCGUAGGCGGGAUCGCAAGUCAGAUGUGAAAACUAUGGGCUUAACCCAUAAACUGCAUUUGAAACUGUGGUUCUUGAGUGAAGUAGAGGUAAGCGGAAUUCCUAGUGUAGCGGUGAAAUGCGUAGAUAUUAGGAGGAACAUCAGUGGCGAAGGCGGCUUACUGGGCUUUAACUGACGCUGAGGCUCGAAAGCGUGGGGAGCAAACAGGAUUAGAUACCCUGGUAGUCCACGCCGUAAACGAUGAUUACUAGGUGUGGGGGGACUGACCCCUUCCGUGCCGCAGCAAACGCAAUAAGUAAUCCACCUGGGGAGUACGACCGCAAGGUUGAAACUCAAAGGAAUUGACGGGGGCCCGCACAAGCAGUGGAGUAUGUGGAUUAAUUCGAAGCAACGCGAAGAACCUUACCAGGUCUUGACAUCGUAUGCAUAGCUCAGAGAUGAGUGAAAUCUCUUCGGAGACAUAUAGACAGGUGGUGCAUGGUUGUCGUCAGCUCGUGUCGUGAGAUGUUGGGUUAAGUCCCGCAACGAGCGCAACCCUUACUGUUAGUUGCUACGCAAGAGCACUCUAGCAGGACUGCCGUUGACAAAACGGAGGAAGGUGGGGAUGACGUCAAAUCAUCAUGCCCCUUAUGACCUGGGCCUCACACGUACUACAAUGGCUGUCAACAGAGGGAAGCAAAGCCGCGAGGUGGAGCGAACCCCUAAAAGCAGUCUUAGUUCGGAUUGUAGGCUGCAACCCGCCUACAUGAAGUCGGAAUUGCUAGUAAUCGCAGAUCAGCAUGCUGCGGUGAAUACGUUCCCGGGCCUUGCACACACCGCCCGUCACGCCAUGGGAGUCGGUAGCACCCGAAGCCUGUAGUCUAACCGCAAGGAGGACGCAGUCGAAGGUGGGAUUGAUGACUGGGGUGAAGUCGUAACAAGGUA
rnacentral:rRNA from 1 species